rnacentral:rRNA from 1 species
AUUGAACGCUGGCGGCAUGCCUAACACAUGCAAGUCGAACGAGUGGCGGACGGGUGAGUAAUGCCUGGGAACCUGCCUGAUGGAGGGGGAUAACUACUAGAAAAGGUAGCUAAUACCGCAUACUAUCAGAUCGGCCCAGGUGGGAUUAGCUAGUUGGUGGGGUAACGGCUCACCAAGGCGACGAUCCCUAGCGGGCCUGAGAGGCUGACCGGCCACACUGGAACUGAGACACGGCCCAGACUCCUACGGGAGGCAGCAGUGGGGAAUAUUCGGCAAUGGGCGCAAGCCUGAGGGAGCAAUGCCGCGUGAAUGAAGAAGGCUUUCGGGUUGUAAAGUACUGUCAGCGGGGAGGCGGUACCCGAAGAGAAAGCAACGGCUAACUACGUGCCAGCAGCCGCGGUAAUUC